UACGUAGGUGGCAAGCGUUGUCCGGAUUUACUGGGCGUAAAGAGCGCGCAGGCGGUCGUUCAAGUCGCGUGUGAAAGCCCCCGGCUCAACUGGGGAGGGUCACGCGAUACUGAUCGACUCGAAGGCAGGAGAGGGAAGUGGAAUUCCCGGUGUAGUGGUGAAAUGCGUAGAUAUCGGGAGGAACACCAGUGGCGAAGGCGGCAUCCUGGACCGGCAUUGACGCUGAACAGCGAAAGCCAGGGGAGCAAACGGG
rnacentral:rRNA from 1 species